UUCACGAACAGCUCCAAUGUUUCGUUCUUCCCUGCGGGCUGCGGGUUUGUGAGUGAGGAGCCCGCGAGAGCAAGAGGGAAGUAUGGAGAAGAGAACGAAGAAAGCGAUUCACCUAUUCCAUUGUGCGGAAGCCGAAGAGCUCGCGCGCAAGGUGGCGGAGCAAUCAGAUUCCAUUCAGCUUCGGUCCAUAGCAUGGAGGAGUUUUGAUGAUGGGUUCCCAAAUCUCUUUAUCAAUGAUGCACAUGAUAUUAGGGGACAACAUGUUGCCUUUUUAGCCUCUUUCAGCUCACCGGCAGUUAUUUUUGAGCAAAUAUCUGCAAUAUUUGCUUUACCAAAACUCUUUAUUGCUUCAUUCACAUUGGUUCUACCUUUCUUCCCUACCGGAUCUUUUGAGCGGAUGGAAGAAGAGGGAGAUGUUGCGACCGCAUUCACUAUGGCGCGAAUACUUUCUAUGAUACCCAAAUCUAGGGGUGGCCCAACUAGUGUGGUCAUCUAUGAUAUACAUGCCUUGCAGGAAAGGUUCUAUUUUGGAGAUGAUGUUUUACCUUGUUUUGAAACUGGGAUCCCCCUCUUGUUACUGCGCCUACGCCAACUCCCUGAUGCUGAUAAUAUAACUAUAGCAUUCCCUGAUGAUGGAGCAUGGAAGAGAUUUCACAAGCAGUUGCAGCAUUUUCCUAUGGUUGUUUGCGCAAAGGUUCGUGAAGGCGAUAAACGAAUAGUUCGAAUCAAAGAAGGAAAUUCUAACGGUCGGCAUGUUGUUAUUGUUGAUGAUUUGGUGCAAUCUGGAGGCACUCUUAUUGAAUGUCAGAAAGUUUUGGCAAGUAAUGGUGCUGCUAAAGUUAGUGCCUAUGUGACCCAUGGUGUUUUCCCCAAGCAAUCAUGGCAACGUUUUGUACAAAAUAAUUCCAAUGAUCUCAGUAACUGGUUCACUUACUUCUGGAUCACUGACUCUUGCCCGCUUACUGUUAAAGCCAUUGCUGGUAAGCCUCCAUUUGAGGUACUGAGCCUUGCGAGUUCCAUUGCAGAUGCUCUUCAGAUCUGAGGAGCGUUGUGCUGAGAAGUGAUUCUGAUGCCUCGGAAUUAGUACCCUCGCAGUUUCUAACUCGCGAACUUUUUUGAAAUCUGAAAAUAGUAUCUGAUGCAUUUGUGAUUCGCUCUAGUGGCAAGGGAAUUUUAUCAAGGGAUGAAAGCUUUGCAUCAUUGGUGGUAUUAUUUAUUAGUUAUCUUUGAGAUUUUAUUCUGUAUGCUGACAUCGGAGAACAAUAUAAUAUUUAUCCCUAAAAGAAAU